rnacentral:rRNA from 1 species
AUUGAACGCUGGCGGCAGGCCUAACACAUGCAAGUCGGACGGUAGCACAGAGGAGCUUGCUCCUCGGGUGACGAGUGGCGGACGGGUGAGUAAUGUCUGGGGAUCUGCCCGAUAGAGGGGGAUAACCACUGGAAACGGUGGCUAAUACCGCAUAACGUCGCAAGACCAAAGAGGGGGACCUUCGGGCCUCUCACUAUCGGAUGAACCCAGAUGGGAUUAGCUAGUAGGCGGGGUAACGGCCCACCUAGGCGACGAUCCCUAGCUGGUCUGAGAGGAUGACAAGCCACACUGGAACUGAGACACGGGCCAGACUCCUACGGGAGGCAGCAGGGGGGAAUAUUGCACAAUGGGCGCAAGCCUGAUGCAGCCAUGCCGCGUGUAUGAAGAAGGCCUUCGGGUUGUAAAGUACUUUCAGCGGGGAGGAAGGCGAUGUGGUUAAUAACCGCGUCGAUUGACGUUACCCGCAGAAGAAGCACCGGCUAACUCCGUGCCAGCCGCCGCGGUAA